rnacentral:rRNA from 1 species
AUUGAACGCUGGCGGCAGGCCUAACACAUGCAAGUCGAGCGGAGCGGCGGACGGGUGAGUAAUGUCUGGGAAACUGCCUGAUGGAGGGGGAUAACUACUGGAAACGGUAGCUAAUACCGCAUACUGAUGGAUGAACCCGCGGUGCAUUAGCUAGUUGGUGAGGUAACGGCUCACCAAGGCCACGAUGCAUAGCCGACCUGAGAGGUUGAUCGGCCACACUGGGACUGAGACACGGCCCAGACUCCUACGGGAGGCAGCAGUGGGGAAUAUUGGACAAUGGGCGAAAGCCUGAUCCAGCCAUGCCGCGUGUGUGAAGAAGGUCUUCGGAUUGUAAAGCACUUUAAGUUGGGAGGCGUUACCAACAGAAUAAGCACCGGCUAACUUCGUGCCAGCAGCCGCGGUAAUAC